rnacentral:rRNA from 1 species
GCCUAAAAUCUAGCCCGCACACUCGCAUGACUUCUCUCACCCAUCGUACCCAAACAAAACAUUUUAACAUUUUAGUACAGGCGAUCGAAAAAUUUCUAAGCGCUUCAGAUAAAGUACCGCAAGGGAAAAAUGAAAUAGAAAUGAAAUAACCCUAAAGCCCCAGACAGCAGAGAUUUUACCUCGUACCUUUUGCAUCAUGGUCUAGCCAGUCUACCCAAGCAAAAUGAAACUUUCAGUUUGACACCCCGAAACUAAGCGAGCUACUUCAGAACAGCCUAAUGGGCCAACCCGUCUCUGUUGCAAAAGAGUGGGAAGAUUCUCAAGUAGAGGUGAUAAGCCUACCGAGCUUAGAGAUAGCUGGUUGUUCAGAAAAAGAGUUUUAGCUCUACCUUAAGCUUCCUCAUUACACUAAGCAAACCCCUAAGCUUAAGAGCCAUUCAAAUAAGGCACAGCUUAUUUGAAACAGGGCACAACCUACAACACAGGGUAAACAAGAGUAAACUAAGCAAAGUGGGCCCAAAAGCAGCCACCUUUAGAAAAGCGUUAAAGCUUAACUAUCCUCUACUCAUAAUUCCUCUAACCCCCUCUAACCCUUCAUUAUUACUGAACAAUUUUAUAUCCCUAUAAAAGCUAUUAUGCUAGAACUAGUAACAAGAAAUUGCUUUUCUCCUAAAUGUAAACGUAAACCAAGAUAGACCAUCUGUUGGUUAUCAACGCAAAUGCCAAAAUCAUAACAACACUUACUAGAAAACCCUAUGACUCCCAGCGUUAACCUUACACUAGAACAUUUCAGGAAAGAUUAAAAGAAAAAGAAGGAACUCGGCAAAUCUUAGCCUCGCCUGUUUACCAAAAACAUCGCCUCUUGACAAACAUAAGAGGUCCAGCCUGCCCAGUGACAAAGUUCAACGGCCGCGGUACCCUAACCGUGCGAAGGUAGCAUAAUCACUUGUUCUUUAAAUGAGGACUCGUAUCAACGGCACUACGAGGGCUAUACUGUCUCCCUUUUCCAA